AUUGAACGCUGGCGGCAGGCCUAACACAUGCAAGUCGAGCGGCAGCGGGAAAGUAGCUUGCUACUUUUGCCGGCGAGCGGCGGACGGGUGAGUAAUGCCUGGGAAAUUGCCCAGUCGAGGGGGAUAACAGUUGGACACGACUGCUAAUACCGCAUACGCCCUAAGGGGGAAAGCAGGGGACCUUCGGGCCUUGCGCCGUUGGAUAUGCCCAGGUGGGAUUAGCUAGUUGGUGAGGUAAUGGCUCACCAAGGCGACGAUCCCUAGCUGGUCUGAGAGGAGGAUCAGCCACACUGGAACUGAGACACGGUCCAGACUCCUACGGGAGGCAGCAGUGGGGAAUAUGGCACAAUGGGGGAAACCCUGAUGCAGCCAUGCCGCGUGUGUGAAGAAGGCCUUCGGGUUGUAAAGCACUUUCAGCGAGGAGGAAAGGUUGAUGCCUAAUACGUAUCAACUGUGACGUUACUCGCAGAAGAAGCACCGGCUAACUCCGUGCCAGCAGCCGCCGUAA
rnacentral:rRNA from 1 species